rnacentral:rRNA from 1 species
GAGUAAAGAUUUCGGUCGCUUUGGGAGGAGCUCGCUUACUAUCAGCUUGUUGGUAGGGUAAUGGCCUACCAAGGCUAUGACGGUUAGGGGGUGUGAGAGCAUGACCCCCAGCAUUGGCACUGAAACACUGGCCAAACACCUACGGGUGGCUGCAGUCGAGAAUCUUCCACAAUGGGGGAAACCCUGAUGGAGCGAUGCUGCGUGCGGGAUGAAGGCCUUCGGGUUGUAAACCGCUUUUGUAGGGGACGAAAUUUUUGACGGUACCCUUUCGAAUAAGAGGUUGCUAACUCUGUGCCAGCAGCAGCGGUAAUACAGAGACCUCAAGCGUUAUCCGGAUUUACUGGGCGUAAAGCGUCUGUAGGGGGUUUAUUAAGUUCCAAGUAAAAUUUCAAGGCUCAACUUUGAAUUCGCUUGGAAAACUAAUAAACUGGAGUCUAGCAGAGGUGCAUGGAACUUUGUGGUGUAGGAGUGAAAUCCGUUGAUAUCACAAGGAACACCAAAGGCGAAGGCAUUGCACUGGGCUAGCACUGACCCUGAGAGACGAAAGCGUGGGGAGCAAAACGGAUUAGAUACCCGUGUAGUCCACGCCCUAAACGAUGAAUGCUAAAUGUUCGGGGAUUCGACCCCCUGGGUGUUACAGCUAACGCGUUAAGCAUUCCGCCUGGGAAGUACGGCCGCAAGGCUAAAACUCAAAGGAAUAGACGGGGAUCCGCACAAGCGGUGGAGCGUCUGGUUUAAUUCGACAGUAAGCGUGGUACCUCACCAGGGUUUGACAUCCCUUGACAGCCUUGGAAACAAGGUUUCCUUCGGGCAAGGUGACAGGUGCUGCAUGGUCGUCGUCAGUUCGUGCCGUGAGGUGUUCCGUUAAGUCGGGAAACGAACGAAACCCCUAUUGCAUGUUACAAUUUCUCAUGCAAGACUGCCCGGAUAUACUGGGAGGAAGGUGGGGAUGACGUCAGAUCUGCAUGGUCCUUAUACCCUGGGCGACACAGGCGCUACAAUGGCAGAGACAAAGGGUUGCAAAACCGCAAGGUGAAGCUAAUCCCAAAAACUUUGUCUAAGUUCGGAUUGAAGGCUGCAAUUCGCCUUCAUGAAGCUGGAAUCGCUAGUAAUCGUGAAUCAGCCACGUCACGGUGAAUAUGUUCCCGGAUCUUGUACUCACCGCCCGUCACACCAAGAGAGUUGGUAGCUCCCGAAG